ACGAAUAUGCCGAAAUUGGUAGCCGGGUGUGUCUUAGGAACACAUGAUUUUUGAUCAUAAGAGUUCAAGUCUCUUUAUUCGUA
rnacentral:tRNA from 1 species